rnacentral:rRNA from 1 species
UACAGAGGUCUCAAGCGUUGUUCGGAUUCAUUGGGCGUAAAGGGUGCGUAGGUGGCGGGGUAAGUCAGGUGUGAAAUCUCGAGGCUCAACCUCGAAACUGCACUUGAUACUGCCUUGCUUGAGGACUGGAGAGGAGACUGGAAUUUACGGUGUAGCGGUGAAAUGCGUAGAUAUCGUAAGGAAGACCAGUGGCGAAGGCGGGUCUCUGGACAGUUCCUGACGCUGAGGCACGAAGGCCAGGGGAGCAAACGGG